CUUCAAGUCUGCCUCGGUGGUUUCUAAUUCUGGAGACGUGCACAGUAGAAUGGUCUCCCACAAUCCUUUCAGAAAGAACAGGAAAGCCCUUCUGUAUUCUUCUUCUGUAAAGAAGACACCAGCCUAUCUCCUCAUAAUUCUGAGGUAAAAUGGUCAUCUAUAAUUCACUCAUUAUUCCACUAAGUAUUUGCUCAGUGCAUACCAUAUGCCAGAUAUUUAUUGCUACAUAUUCCAUGCUGAGCCAAUGUCAAGGACCUACUGUCUAGGAGGAAGAAUGACAACAAUCAAAUCUUCACACAAAUAAAUAUAGCCUUACAAACACUGACGAGUGCUUAGAUGAAAAAGUACUGUGCACCAUGCUUGUGGGAACACAUUAGAGCCUAACUGGGUUUGGGAGGAUGGGAGUUGUCAAGAAAGGUUUCCUAUGGGCUUUGCAGUUAGGACCUGACAUGAGACACACAAGUAGGAAUGGGAGGGAGAGUUCUUCUCUUGACCAGGAGGAUGCACUCGUGAAUGUUUGAGGCUGCAAAAAGCUGACUCAGUGGGAACUGGAGGGGCAGGAGCGGAAGAGAGGUAGGAAAAGUAGAUAGGGCUUGCAGGCCAUGUCAAGGGCUUUGGACUUUAUUCAGAGGGAAGUAGGCCACCAUUUUUGUGAGCAGGGGAGUUACAGGGCUCUGUUUGCAUAUUAAUAAAAGUAAUCUGAUUUCUGUUGGAGAAUGGAUUGGAAAGUGCCAUGGAUGGACGUAGGGAAACUGGUUAGGAAACUAUUCCAGUAGUGUAGACAAGAGACAGUGGCAGUAUAGUAUAUAGGAGUGGAUGUUAGGCAUACUUGAGGUUGACACUUUUUUCUUGCAGUACUUUAGAGAUGUUCCAUUGUCGGUACUGUAAUAGCAUUGUAUGGGGACCAUUGGUAGCCAUGCUUGUGGGGAGCACAGCAUAACAAAUACACUAGUCAACUCACUAUGUUGUAUACCUGAAGCUAAUGUAACAUUGCGUGUCAACUUCAUUAAAAAAAAAAAAAAUGAAAAACAAAAUGAAUGGGGCACCUGGGUGGGUGACUCAGUCGGUUGAGCCUCAGACUCUUUCUUGAUUUCGGCUCAGGUCAUGAUCUCACAGUCGUGAGAUCAAGCCUCACAUUGGGCUCUGUGCUGAGCGUGGAGCCUGCUGAAAUUCUCUCUCACCCUCUCCCUUUGCCCGGUCCUGCUUGCACACACGUGCACUCACUCAAAAAAAAAAAAAAAAAAAAAAAAAAAAAAAAAAAAAAAAAAAAGAUGUUCCAUUGCCUUCUGGCUUGCUUAAUUUUGGAAACAAAGUCUUUACCUGUAUAUAAUGAGUCUUUUUUCCCCUCUGGCUGAUUUUAAGACUAUCAAGAAGUUUUAGCAAUUCAGUUAUGAUGUAUUUUGUAUAGUUUUAAAAAGUUUAUUCUGUUUGGAAUGUGUUGAGUCUCUUGAAUCUGUGGGAUUAAUAGUUUUCACCAAAUUUAGAAAAUUUUUGGCCAUUUUUUCUUCAAAUAGUCUUAUGCCUCCUUUUUUUCUUGGGACACGCAGAGUUCAGGGAUUGGUGGAUUUUCAAGAGCAGUAAUGUUUAAGGAUUUUUUUUUUAACUUUUAACUGUGCAAGCAAGUGAUUCAUUGAUGACUGGCUAACUUGCAGAUGUUUUUCCAUUGAAAGGAGGCUCUUGCCAAUUGGCUGUUUUUUCAGAAGUGUAACUGCUGGGAUGAAGUUGUUAUGGGUUGAUCAGGAUGAAUUUAAAGCCGGUUAUAGUAGUUAUUCAUUGUUGUGGUCAGAUAAUUUUUUUGUAGGAGGAUAGCAAUUUUUUCCCCUCAGUCUCUCUUUUUAAUCUUCCAUCCGGUAGAAUCGCAGGAAAUACCCUAGGAAUUAGGCAGAGUUCUACCAGUGUUAUUGAUUCUUCUUGAAGAUGAGGUUUCAUUUCCAGAAGUCUGAUGAUCAGUUGAGUAUCAAUCAACAUGUUUUCGUCUCGUUUUGUCUUUGAUUGAUGUGCAUUUGCGAUUCUGGACAACAGACAUUGAACAACUAUGAGACAAACAAGAAUAAUUAAGAAUAUUAUGAGAUGGGACUGGAAAGCACAUAGAAACCAUGACCCAGUAUUUCUCAGGCCUAAAGACAAAUCCAACAACUUCCUGAGUCUACCUUGAGUAGCCAGGUUGCCUUUUUCCUUAAGUUAGGUGAUGGAUUGUUCCAUCCCACCUCUGGAACAAAAUCUAGGUAAAGAUGGAGUAUUAGUAAUAGUGCGAACUCCAAGGUUAUUCUAUUAUCCAUAACUAACUACUUGAGCUCUAAGGGCUGGACUCAUUAAUUGUAUCAGCCAAAGUGAGGUUCUAAUUGUUGAUGGUCACCUCAAGUUGGCCAAAUUUAAAAUUUUUUUUUUGUUUUUUCAACGUUUAUUUAUUUUUGGGACAGAGAGAGACAGAGCAUGAACGGGGGAGGGGCAGAGAGAGAAGGAGACACAGAAUCGGAAACAGGCUCCAGGCUCCGAGCCACCAGCCCAGAGCCCGACGCGGGGCUCGAACUCACAGACCGCGAGAUCGUGACCUGGCUGAAGUCGGACGCUUAACCGACUGCGCCACCCAGGCGCCCCAAGUUGGCCAAAUUUUAUAGGCAGGAUCACAAUCCCUAGGAGGCUAUUUACAAAAUACUAUUUAUACCUCCAGGAAAAAUAAUAAAUUGCUACUUUAAAUUUUUUUUUUUUUUCAACGUUUUUUUUUUUAUUUAUUUUUGGGACAGAGAGAGACAGAGCAUGAACGGGGGAGGGGCAGAGAGAGAAGGAGACACAGAAUCGGAAACAGGCUCCAGGCUCCGAGCCACCAGCCCAGAGCCCGACGCGGGGCUCGAACUCACAGACCGCGAGAUCGUGACCUGGCUGAAGUCGGACGCUUAACCGACUGCGCCACCCAGGCGCCCCAAGUUGGCCAAAUUUUAUAGGCAGGAUCACAAUCCCUAGGAGGCUAUUUACAAAAUACUAUUUAUACCUCCAGGAAAAAUAAUAAAUUGCUACUUUAGAGUGUUACAACAAAGAAUAGCAUUUGAGGAGGAAAAGGUAACGGUAUUUCAUAAUUAGUUAAUUAAAUAGCAGAAAAAUAAUAGAUGAUCUCAGUUAGAAGUAAGCACUGCCCUGCACGUGGUACCAUCAGAUUUUAUAGUUCCAGUAUAAGAUCUGGAGAUGUGUCUGUUGGGUUAGCUAAGGCUGAAUUUGCUCUGAGACAAACAGGAUAUGCCUUAACUACUGGGUCAAAAGACAGGUUAAUAAUAGGCCAUGGAUCUUUGAUAUGCUCUGUGUGUUAACAGCUUUAGAUGUCAGCUCACCUUUCCUUUCAUGUAUAUAUGAAAAGAAAGCUUUAUGGUAAUCUGGGAGAUGCAGUUCAGGUGAUUGUAGAUGCAAGUUGUGAGACCAUAGCAAGUCUUUUCCAUCUCUGCUUUUUCCAUUCCAUGAAGGAGAUUCCAAAGGGUUUGAUUUAGGCAAAUGGUAUCAAGUCCUUGCUAUUUCAGAAAAGUUUGGUACGCAUUGCACACGAUACCCAGUUAGUCUCAGAAAUCCUUACUGUCUUCUGGUGGUUGGUUGUGGGUAAUUUUGAUGAAUUUGCAAUCUUUUCUUAGAUACUGUCCUUCCGUCAGCUGCUAUGUCUUGGCACGUCAGUGGACAGAUACUUAAAGUGAGUCUUAGAGUCAUCACAUCAGGGGAUCUCAAAAGAGCUCAUUUACAUAUAGGGUCAGAGCGAUCACCUAGGGAAUAGCAUCUCCUUUGAGUCUUGGUUUAACUGUGAUGAGGCAUCAGUGAAUUCCUGGGUCCAAGUGAAUUAUUAAUUUUGCUGGGUGACAGCAAAUAAUGUUGACUAUUUUACUCCCUUGAGACACUGAACAAAGACAAGUACAAAUCUAUUACAGUGAGGAGAGGAUGGUGUUUAGGUUAGGCAUUAUUAGGAAGUAAGGUAUAACUAUUUUUCUAAUUGCACGCAGAUCUCAAACAAAUCUAUAUUCUCGACCACUAGGUAUUUUAACAGUGAAGUAGAUGUAUUACAUGAACUGGUACAAGGCAGAAUUAGUUGGUUACUGUAAUGCCCACCAGCGGCUGGUCUUAGGUUUCACGAGGCAAUCCUAUUCAGUACCUGGAAUAGCCCACGCGUGGCGCUGGGUUCACUGAGAAGGAUAGAGGUCCGGACCUGGCAGUCAGGUGUGUUUCUUCAGCAGUAGUCUCGCAGCUGUGCACAGAGCAGUCCUAGUGGAAGAUUAAAUGUGAGAGAAUGAGAUCACAAAGGUGGGUGUCAGAGCCAAGCUCACAUCCCAACUAGGAGCAAGUAUCCUGCACGUCGUUCUGCAGGCGGAACCUCCAGGGCCACAAGUCCCGGUCACAUGUCACGACACUCAGGGAAGCCCAGAACCACCGCCCCCUGCCAGGCACUUGCACACCAUUCAUGGUCCUUGUAAUCCAGAGGCACUUUACCAAUCUGGGCUCAUUUUUACCUCAAAGAGUGUAGACGCUCCAGCUCUGUGAGGUUUCUAGAAAGUUAACCCAAGGUCAGUUUUGACUGUACAGAGGAUUUUUGUUAACCUUUUGCUCACAGGUACAGUUGGCAUAAGAUCUUUCUCUGCUUCAACUUUUAGAAGAUGCCAACAUAGAACAGAAUAAAUUCCAGAAAUAAACCCACAUAAAUACGGUGAAUUGAUUUUUGACCAGGAUUGGAGGGCAGUUCAAUAGGUAUAGGAUAGUCUUCAACAAAUGGUGCUGGAUAACUGGACAUCCAUAAGUAGAAUAAGAACCUUGAACCUCAACUCACACUGUAUAUAAAAUUAAUUCAAGGUGUAUCAUAGGUCUAAAUAUAAACCAUAAGACUAUCAACUUUUGGAAGAAAACAUAACAGAAUCUUUAUGAACUUGGGUUAGGCCAAGAAUUCUUAUUAUGAUACCAAAAGCACAAUUAUUAAUGGAACUUGAUCAAAAUUACACAACUCUGCUCUGCCAAAGAUACUGUUAAGACAAUGAAAACACAAGCCAAAGACUGGGGAAAAUAUUUAAAAAUCACAUAUCCAAUGAAAACGAUAUGCAGAAUACAUAAAGAACUCUCAAAACUCAACACUAGAAAACCAACAGACAUAAAAGAUUGGGAAGGAUUUUAACAGGCACUUUACCAGAGAGGAUGUACAGGAGACAGGUGCAUGAAAUAAUGUGCAAUGUCAUUAGGGACAUGCAAAGUAAAACCACGAUAACACUGCACACCUGUUAGAACAGCUAAGGCAUUUUUCAAAUGACAACACCAAGCAUGUUGGCGGGGACUCUGAGAAUGGGAAACUUAUACAUCAUUGCCAGUGGGAAUGUAAAAUGGUACAGUGACUCUGAGAACAGUUUAUCAAUCUUUUGUGAAGUCACUGACCAGGUGACCAGCAAUUCCAUUCCUAGAUAUUUGCCCUAGAGAAAUGAAAAUUUGUAUUUACCCCAAAUCUGUGCAUUAAUGUUUUUAGCACCUUUAUUCAUAGUAGUCCAAAAUUGGAAAAGACCCACAUGUCCUCUCAUGGGUGAAUGGAUGAAUAAACUAUGGGGCAUCCGUACGAUCCAACAACACCCAACAGUAAAAAGGAAUUACUCUUGAUGCACGCAGCAACAGGGAUGCAUCUCUAAAGCAUUGGGCUAUGUGAAAGAAACCAGACUCAAAGCUAUAUGAUUUUAUGUAUAUGACAGUCUGGAAAAGGCAAAACUAUAGGAGAACAUAUCAGUGGUUGCUGAGGGUUCAGGAAGGAGAAGGGCUUGACCUUUACACAAAGAGGUAGCACAAGGGAGUUUUUUAGGGUCAUGGAACUUUCUGUAUCCCAGUGGUAGUGGUGGUUACUCAAAUCUGUAUGUGUGUUAAAACUUAUAAAAUUACAGACUUUUUAAAGUUAAUUUUAUAUGUUAACUUAAGAGUAAAAAAAUGAAAGAGAAACCCAACUGAUUUGAAACUAUGUCCACGUGAAACUGCCCAUGAAUGUUUACAGCAGCCUCAUUCAUUACUGCCAAAACUUGGAAGCAACUGACAUGUUAUUUAAUAAGUGAAAGGAUAUGCAAGCUGUGCUCCACCCAUACAAUGGAAUAUCAUUUAACAAUAAAAAGAAAUGAGCUGUCAAGCCAUGAAAAGACAUGGAUUGACCUUAAAUGCGUAUUGCUAAGUGCAAGACGCUGCUCUGAAAGGCCACAUGCUGCAUGAUUCUAGCUACAUAGCAUUCUGGGAAAGGGAAAACUAUAGAGACGGUAAGAGAUCAGUGGUUACCAUAAGUUUGGGGGUGGGAGAAGUGUUGAGUAGGUGAAGCACAGUGGAUUCUGGGGGGUGAUAAAGUACAGUGGAUUUUUUAGGGUGAUGGAGUUGUUCCAUAUGAUACGGUAAUAAUGGAUACAAGAAAUUUAAGUAUUUGUCAAGGCGCAUAGAAUUUUACAGCACAAAGACUGAACUGUAGUGUAGGUAAUAUUCUUGAAAUUUUUUAUUGUGGCAAAAUGUACAUAACAUUCACUUUACCAUUUUGACCAUUUUUAAGUGGCAGUGAGUACAUUCGCAAUGUUGUGUAGCCAUUCUAUCCAUUUCCAGAUCUUUUUCAUCAUCCCAAAUAGAAACUCUGUCCCCGUUGAAUCACUCUCCCUUCUCCCUUACUCCAACAACUAGUAGCGCCUAUUACACUUUCUAUCUCUAUGAAUGUACCUAUUCUAGGUACCUCAUAUAAGUGGAAUCAUACAGUGUUUAUCCUUUUGUCUCUGGCUUAUUUCAUUUAACAUGACAUUUUUACAGUUUAUCCACAUUGUGGCGUGUUUCAGAAUUUAAUUCCUUUUUACAACUAAAUAAUAUUCUAUAGUAUAUGUAAAUACCACAUUUGGUUUGUUCAUUCUACCUUUUGGCUGUUAUGAAUACUACUGUUGUGAACAUUGGUAUCCAGGUAUAUGUUAAGAGUCCUGCUUUCAGAUCUUUUGGACAUAUACCUAGAAGUGGAAUUGCUGGAUCAUAUGGUCAUUCUAUGUUUAGCUUUUUGAGGAAACCCCCACCAUGUUUUCCACAGAGGUUGCCCAUUUUACAUUCCCACUAGCAAUACACCAUUAUUCUAAUUUCUCCACAUCCUUCCCAAGACUUGUUAUUUUCUUCCUCUCUACCUUUCUUUCUUUCUUUCUUUCUUUCUUUCUUUCUUUCUUUCUUUCUUUCUUUCUCUUUCUUUCUUUUCUUUUCUUUCUUUCUUUUCUUUCUCUUUCUUUCUUUCUUUCCCUCCUUCCUUCCUUCUUUCCUUUCUUUCUCUUCCUUCCUUCCUUCCUUCCUUCCUUCCUUCCUUCCUUUUCUGUUUCUUUCUUUCUUUCUUUCUUUCUUUCUUUCUUUCUUUCUUUCUUUCUUUCCUUCCUUCCUUCCUUCCUUCCUUCCUUCCUUCCUUCCUUCUUUUUCUCUUUUUCUUUUUUAUAAUAGCCAUCCUCAUGGGUAUGAGGUAGUAUCUCAUUGUGGUUUUAAUUUGCAUUUCCCUAUUAAUGAUGUUGAACAUACUUGCAUGUGCUUAUUGGCCAUUUGUAUAUCUUCUUUGAAGAGAAGUCUAUUCAAGGUUUUUUUUUGCCCAUUUUGUAUUGGGUUGUUUUUUUGUUGUUUUUGUUGUUGAAUUUAAUAGCUCUUUAUAUAUUUUGGAUAUUAAUCCCUUAUCAGAUAUACACUUUGCAUAUAUCUUCUCCUAUCCUGGGGGUUGUCUUUUUACAAUCUUAAUAAUAUCCUUUGAGGCACAAAAGUUUUACAUUUUGUCCAAUUUACCUAUUUUUGUUGUUGCCUGAGCUUUUGGUGUCCUAUCCACGAAAUCAUUGCAAAUCCAAUGUCAUAAAGAUGUUCCCUAUGUUCUUCUCUAAAAAUUUUAUAGUUUUAUCUCCUACAUUUAGGUUUUUGAUCCAUUUUGUGCUAAUUUUUAUUUAUUUAUUUUUAAAAUUUUUUGUAAUGUUUAUUUUUGAGAGAAAGAGAGACAGAAUGUGAGUGGGGGAGGAGCAGAGAGAGAGGGAGACACAGAGCUGUCAGCACAGAGCCUGACACGGGGCUUGAACCCACAACCCUUGAGGUCAUGACGUGAGCCAAAGUCAGAUGUUUAACCGACUGAGCUACCCAGGCGCCACAUUAAUUUUUAUAUAUGGUAUGAGGUAAGGAUCCAACUUCAUUCUUUUGCAUGUGGAUAUCCAUUUGUUGAGAAGACUGUCAUCUCUCGUUGAAUGGUCUUGACCCUUGUUGAAAAUCAAUUGAUCAUAUAUGCAAGACUCUGUUUUCAGACUUUGUAUUCUAUUCCUUUGAUCUAUCUGUCUGUCCUUAUGCCAGUACCACGCUGAUUAAUGUAGCUUUGUAGUAAGUUUAAAAAUCAGGAAAUGUGAGUCCUCCAACUUUGUUCUACUUUUUUGUUUUGUUAUGGAUAUCCUCCUGAAUGUGAAGUGGUAUAUCAUAGUGAUUUUGAUUUGCAUUUUCCUAGUGAUGAAUAAUGUUGAAUAUUUUCAAGUGUUGUGUCCAUUUCUUUACCUUCUUUGGAAAAAAAGUCCUUUCUCAAAGCAUUUGAAAAAAUGGGGUUCCUGUUUGUUUGUUUUUUUUAUUGAUGAGUUGUAAGAGUUCUCUGUAUGUUUUGAAUACUAGACCCUUAUCAGAUACAGAUUUUCCCCACUACCCCAAACCAGAAUAUUCCUAUGAAAUCUGAAAUGGCGUAAAGUGAAGAAGCGGUUACUAUUAAUUUAUAGUUGACCCUUGAGCAACAUGGGAGUGAGGAGCGUCAACCCCCCAUGUAGUCAAAAAUCCACGUGUAACUUUUGACUCCCUGAAAACAUAAGUACUAAGAGCCUAUUGUUGACUGGAAGUCUUAGCGAUAACAUAAACAGUUGAUUAACACAUAUUUUGCAUGUUAAAUGUAUUAUAUGCUAUAUUCUUAUAAUAAAGUGAGCUAGAAACAAAUAUUAUUAUGAAAAGUCAUAAGAGAAAAUACAUUUACAGUACCAUGCUGUAUUUAUCCCCCCAAAAUCUGUGUAUAAGUGGGCCCACACAGUUCAUACCCAUGUUGUUUAAAAGUCAACUUAUAUGGAAAAAGUUUUGAGUGUUCUUGGGCCCAAAAAUAAUCUCUCAGGCUUUUCAGAUACUUUAGGACACAUCUUGCUAAUGGAUGUACAAAGUAAGUUGGGAUAAAGCACUUAUGUUCAAAGAAAGAGUUCAUAACUAUGGUGGCCGGACGCUGAGACGCUGAGUGCAGUUCCUAGGGAAGGAGUUUGGGAGGGACACCCUCGCUGCUUGGGCUACGUACUGCCUCUACAACAGCUCAUUGCAAAACCAAUGCUGAAUGCUAAUUUUGCUUUUCAUCUUUUUCAUAAAAAUGAAAAUCCUCUUUGGUUAGUGAAAACAGGUACUAAUGUAGGUCUUUCAAAAAGCCUAACUGGCCUGGGGGGGCCUGGAUGGCUCAGAUGGUUAAGCCGCUGAUUUCAGCUCAGGUGGUGAUCUCACAGUUUGUGGGUUCGAGCCCCGUGUCGGGCUCUGUGCUGACAGCUCAGAGCUCAGAGCCUGCUUCAAAUUCUGUGUCUCCGUCUCCCUCCCCCUCUGUGUCUCCCCAUCUCACACUCUGUCAAAAAAUGAAUAAAUGUUAAAAAAAAAAAAAGCUAAGUGGCCUGAUAACAUUCAAAAAGCAGAGGAUUCCUGUAUGUGAUUUCAGAUACAGUAUUUGCUUCCAUUCUAUGGGUUGCCUUUUCACUCAGUGAAUAAUGCUCUUUCAUGCACAAAAGUUUUGCAUUUUGAUGAAGUCUUACUUAUCUAUUUUUUAUUUAUCUAUUUUUUCUUUGGUUGUUUGUGCUUUUGGUGCCAUAUUAAAGGACCCAUUGCCAAAUCCAAGGUCAUAAAGAUUUGCCCCUGUGUCUUUCUUCUAAAAAUUUUAUAGUUUUAGCUUUUUAAUGUAAGUCUUGGAUUCAUUUUGAGUUAAUAUUUAUAUGUGGAGUGAGUUAAGUGUCCACUUUCAUUAUUUUAUUUUAUUUUUUAUUUUGUUUUAUUUAUUUUAGAGAGAGAGAGAGAGAGAGAGAGAGAGAGAGGGAGAACCAGCACAUAUGCAAGCAGGGGAGAAGGGCAGAGGGAGAGACAGAGAACCUCAAGCAGGCUCUACACUCAGCAUGGAGCCCAACACGGGGCUCAAUCCCACGACCCUGGGAUGAUGACCUGAGCUGAAAUCAAGAGUGAGAUGCUUAACCGACUGAGCCAGCCAGGCCCACUUUCAUUCUUUUACAUGCAGAUAUUCACUUGUUCCAGCACCAUUUGUUAAAGUGAGCGGUCUUUCCCCCACCUACUGGUCUUGAUACCCUUAUUGAAAAUCAAUCCUCUUUGAUUUUUUUCAGUACAGUUUUAUUGCUUUCUGUUGCUUGCAUGUAUUUGUUAGAUGCGUUUUAUUUUAAAAUUUUCAAUAUGGAAAAUUUCAAGUAUAUACAGAAACAGGUAGGUGUACUCAUCACUCAUCCUCAACAACUCAUGGCCAAUCCUGUUACAUCUUGUUCUUACACGAUGCCCCACCUCCAUAUUAUCUUUGUAGGUCAAAUUUAGUGAAGCAUACUUGACACACAGUAAAAUUUACCCUUUUUAUAAUUCAACAAGAUGUGACCGAUGUAUGAGCCAGCACAAUCAAGAUAUAAAAUAUUUCCAACACCCCGAAAGUUUAUGAUCCCUUUGCAGCGAAAUCCCUUCCUUCCAGUGUUCCUGGGAAACACUGAUUAGAUUUCUGUCCCUAUAGGUUUUUUCUCUUCUAGUACUGGGCCUCCAUUUAUAAACUUUUCGAUUUUUAACAAACCAGCAUUUUAGGCUGCAGACUUUAUUUUUGGAAUCUCUCAUGGUUCCAAGGAUACAUAGCUAGGUUAGACUGGAGCUCUGGCAACGGCCCUUCUGUGUGAGGGAGAAUAAACCAGUGAUCAUCUCCCCAUCAGGGCACAGGCAAAAUACAAAAUGGGGCUCUGGGCUUCCUAAAGGAGGGGAGGAGGGAGCCUUGAGAAAAUAGUGUCCUUUUGGAACCUGAGGCACAGAACAGCCUCAUACACCCUCUUUUCUGUGGUUAAUUGCAAGGGAUUGAUUGAAACCAUUUCUCACCACUUCUAAAAAUUCUCACUCAACUAAUACCUAUUGAAAACCUUCUAUUUUCUAGACACUGUUGCAGCAGCUUGGGAAAUAUUUGUGGACAAAAUAAAGAUUUCCACCCUUAUGGAGAUUAAAUUCUAUCAAGCAUAAACAGACACUAAAUAAGAAACAUAAGAGAUUAAAAAUAAUAUGGCAUGGCAGAGGUGAUAAGGGCAAUGCAGGAAAGUAAAAGAUCAGGAAAGGAGGGCAGCAGGAGGGCAGGAGUGGAUUGAAGAAUUAAGUAAGAUGGUCAGGGCCCAUUUCCCUGAGAAAGUGGGAUCUGAACAAACACUAGAAGGGAUGGAUGGGGAGUUGGGCAGGUGGGUGCUGGGGAGUGAAUAACCCAGGUUCAGGGAGUGGUUUGGAGCUAAGCCCUUGUGGAAUGUUUGAGAAUCAGAAAGGAGGGCAAUGGGGCUGGGACAGAGGGAAUGAGAGGAAGGAGAAAGAGAGGGGUCAAAGACAGUGUGGGCCUUGCAGGCGCACUGGCACGUGAAUGAGUUGAGAAGAUUCACCCUCUACUGUCAACUAUGACCCUUAUAUCCUGAUCACUGCACUGCAGUGUUUAAAGCAUUGUGCCAAAUCUCAUGGGAUUCUAGGAGAUAACUGGCAAACAGAAUUAGGCAGAUCCUUUGGUUAAAUAUGGACUUACUUUACUUUCUCAAUGGAAACUACCUAAUAGCUACUCCUAUACAGAGCAGAGUGGUAAUUCUGAGCCUCUGGGCCAGUAGUUCUGGGUCUGUGACCCCAGUGCCACCACUUUGAAGCUGUGUGGUCUGGGGCACAUUGAUUCUCCUCUCUGAGCCUGUUUCCUUGGCUCUAAAGUGGGGAUGGUAAUCAGUGCCUGUUAUUGGCUUAAUUGUGCACCCUCCCAACCAGAUUCAUAUGUCAAAGUCAAGACUGCUGUCCUUGUACGAAGUAGAAAUUUGGAUGCUGACAUGCACAGAGGAAACAUUGUGAGGACACAGGCAGAAGACGGCCAUCUACAAGCCAAAGAGAGAGACCUCAGAUGAAACCCACCCUCCAACACCUUGAUCUUGGACUUCUAGACGCCAGAACUAUGAGAAAGCAAAUUUCUGUUGUUUAAGCCCCCUGGUCCGUGGUAUUUUGUUAUGACAGCCCCAGGAAAGGUUUACAGUACCCUUAAAAGACUGUUACGGGGUGCGCUUUUAGGGAACUGGUGUCUAAAGGCUGUGCUUUCUAAAUCUGAUUCAUUCUUACCCCGCAGGGGUGCAUUCUCUCCACCAGGAGAGAUGCUGCCAGGAACAGGC
rnacentral:lncRNA from 1 species